rnacentral:rRNA from 1 species
CCUACGGGAGGCAGCAGUGGGGAAUCUUGCGCAAUGGGCGAAAGCCUGACGCAGCCAUGCCGCGUGAAUGAUGAAGGUCUUAGGAUUGUAAAAUUCUUUCACCGGGGACGAUAAUGACGGUACCCGGAGAAGAAGCCCCGGCUAACUUCGUGCCAGCAGCCGCGGUAAUACGAAGGGGGCUAGCGUUGCUCGGAAUUACUGGGCGUAAAGGGAGCGUAGGCGGAUAGUUUAGUCAGAGGUGAAAGCCCAGGGCUCAACCUUGGAAUUGCCUUUGAUACUGGCUAUCUUGAGUACGGAAGAGGUAUGUGGAACUCCGAGUGUAGAGGUGAAAUUCGUAGAUAUUCGGAAGAACACCAGUGGCGAAGGCGACAUACUGGUCCGUUACUGACGCUGAGGCUCGAAAGCGUGGGGAGCAAACAGGAUUAGAUACCCUGGUAGUCCACGCUGUAAACGAUGAGUGCUAGUUGUCGGCAUGCAUGCAUGUCGGUGACGCAGCUAACGCAUUAAGCACUCCGCCUGGGGAUACGGUCGCAAGNUUAAACUCAAAUGAAUUGACGG